GACAACGACCCUAAGCACACAGUCAAGACAACGCAGGAGUGGCUUCGGGAGAAGUCUCUGAAAGCCUGGACUUGAACCCGAUCGAACGUCUCCGGAAAGAUCUGAAAAUAGCUGUGCAGCGGCGCUCCCCAUCCAACCUGACAGAGCUUGAGAGGAUCUGCAGAGAAGAGUGAAGAGUAGCUGCUGCCUUGGUGUUGCUGGACCCCAGGAAGAGUAGCUACUGCCUUGGUGUUGCUGGACCCCAGGAAGAGUAGCUGCUGCCUUGGUGUUG